UUUUGAUACUUUAGUCACGUGAUCGUAAACGACUGUGAUUGGCCGAAUGGUUGAUGACUUAUGACAACACAAU